CCCUCUCCCCAAACCACCUUUGGACUUUCUUUGGUGAUUAAUGAAUUAGGAAAUGAAUCACGUUGACUGCAGACUCUAUGUUACCAUGACAUGACAUGACAUAGCAUGGGUUCUUGUAACUUGCUGGUAAUGCUGACCUUCCGCUAUGGCUGCAAACAGAGCGAGGGAACUGUGCCUGAGAAUUCUCAUUCCUCAGAAUGAGAGCAUCAGAGAUCAGCAUCAUGUUUCCUGUUGAUACCUGAAUAGUCCUAGAAAGACUAAUUUUUUUCCUAGAUGACUACUCAAAGAUUAUUUUACCUACUUCUGCUUCCAGGUAGGAAAUUACCUAAAUUUCAUGUGAGUUAGCUUCCUCUCCAUCUGUUUUUGGCAAGCAAGGAGGACAUACACUGGUUUUUGUAAAGACUACUCCAUCUUCCCCCAUUCUGUCUCCCUUCACCUAGUCCUUUAAACCUUAAUGUCUGUACAAUUUCUAUUUGGACGUACUAUUGUUUUGUGUUGAGCAGAGUGCCGGGAUGAGAAGUUUGCUUGUACAAGACUGUACUCUGUCCAUCGGCCCGUCAGACAGUGUGUGCACCAGGCCUGCUUCACCAGUUUACGUCGCAUGUACAUCAUCAAUAAUGAGAUCUGUUCCCGGCUUGUCUGUAAAGAACACGAGGCCAUGAAAG
rnacentral:lncRNA from 1 species